rnacentral:rRNA from 1 species
CGCGAGCAUCUACGAGUCAAGUUAGGAAGGGCUCACGGUGGAUGCCUAGGCGCCAGGAGCCGAUGAAGGGCGUGUCAGGCUGCGAUAAGCUCCGGGGAGCCGCCGAGAAGGCUGAGAUCCGGAGAUGCCCGAAUGGGGGAACCCGGCCGGGGUCAUGCCCGGUCACCCAGGCCUGAACCCAUAGGGCCUGUGGAGGGAACCGCCCGAAGUGAAACAUCUCAGUAGGGCGAGGAAAGGAAAGCAACCGCGACUCCCCUAGUAGCGGCGAGCGAACGGGGAUCAGCCUAAACCGGCACGGUGUCGAAGCCCGGUGGCGUUGCCGUGCCGGGGUCGUGGGACCCGCCAGGAGGGGCGCCGGACCCUCCAGGGAGUUACAAAAUCCGCACCUAGCCGAAGGCCAUGGAAAGGGCCGCCGGAGGAGGUAAUAGCCCUGUAGGCGAAAGGUGACGGAUCUCCCGGCGGUGUUCCCGAGUAGCACGGGGCCCGUGGAAUCCCGUGUGAAUCUGGGGGGCCCACCCCCUAAGGCUAAGUACUCCCUGGCGACCGAUAGUGGACCAGUACCGUGAGGGAAAGGUGAAAAGCACCCCGGGAGGGGAGUGAAAUAGAACCUGAAACCGUGAGCCUACGAACCGUCGGAGCUCGGGCCUGGGCGACCAGGUCCGGGUGACGGCGUGCCUUUUGAAGAAUGAGCCGGCGAGUUAGCCGUCUGCGGCGAGGUUAACCCUUCGGGGGAAGCCGUAGCGAAAGCGAGUCCGAACAGGGCGUCCAGUCGCAGGCGCUAGACCCGAAGCCGGGUGAUCUACCCAUGGGCAGGCUGAAGCGAGGGUAAGACCUCGUGGAGGGCCGAACCCACCAGGGUUGAAAACCUGGGGGAUGACCUGUGGGUAGGGGUGAAAGGCCAAUCAAACCCGGUGAUAGCUGGUUCUCCCCGAAAUGCCUUUAGGGGCAGCCUCGGGCGUUCUCCGGCGGAGGUAGAGCACUGCUUGGGCUAGGGGGCCCACAAGCUUACCGAACCCAGGCAAACUCCGAAUGCCGUCGGACGAGAGCCCGGGAGUGAGGCUGCGGGGGCUAAGCUCCGUAGCCGAGAGGGAAACAACCCAGACCGCCAGCUAAGGUCCCCAAGUCCGUGCUAAGUGGGAAAGGAUGUGGGAUCGCAGAGACAACCAGGAGGUUGGCUUAGAAGCAGCCAUCCUUGAAAGAGUGCGUAACAGCUCACUGGUCAAGUGGUCCUGCGCCGACGAUGUAGCGGGGCUCAAGCACGGCACCGAAGCUGCGGGAUCCCCCGGAACGGCUCGGCGUACGAGGGAGGCCUCGUACGUCCAGGCCGGGGGAUCGGUAGGGGAGCGUUCCGACGCGGGUGAAGCGGCGGGGGAACCCAGCCGUGGACGCGUCGGAAGUGAGAAUGCCGGCAUGAGUAGCGAGAGACGGGGGAGGAGCCCGUCCGCCGGAAGCCCAAGGGUUCCUGGGGAAGGUUCAUCCGCCCAGGGUUAGUCGGGACCUAAGCCGAGGCCGAGAGGCGUAGGCGAUGGACGACCGGUUGAUAUUCCGGUACCACCUCACCCGCGACCAGGUCGGACCCGGGGUACUAAGGGAACCCCUCCUCCGGGAGGGGCUACCGACCGACCCGGUGACGGCCAGCGAUGGGGGGACGCAGAAGGGUAGCUCGACCCAGGCGGUGGUCGUCCUGGGGCAAGCGUGUAGGGGGAGGUCCUAGGCAAAUCCGGGACCUCGUCAACCCCGAGGCGCGAUGCCGAGCCGUUCAGGCGAAGCGAGUGAGCCCAUGCUGCCGAGAAAAGCCUCUAGCGAGUGGGUGAGGUGCCCGUACCCCAAACCGACACAGGUGGGCUGGUAGAGCAUACCGAGGCGAUCGAGUGAACCCUGGUCAAGGAACUCGGCAAAUUGCCCCCGUAACUUCGGGAGAAGGGGGACCCCGGUAGGGUGAAGGCCUUCGCGGCCGGAGCCCGAGGGGGUGGCACAGACCAGGCCCAAGCGACUGUUUACUAAAAACACAGGUCCGUGCGAAGUCGUAAGACGAUGUAUACGGACUGACGCCUGCCCGGUGCCGGAACGUUAAGGGGAGGGGUCAGCGCGGCCUUCGGGCCGUGCGAAGCUCCGAACCUAAGCGCCGGUAAACGGCGGCGGUAACUAUAACCGUCCUAAGGUAGACGGCCGAGGAUGCGCCCCUCGGCGCUGCCCCUCGCGUCGGCGACGGCGCGAGUGCAGCUGGCUAUAUGCUGGGACACCCGAGGAUCCGGCGGUACUCGCCAUGUCGGUGCCGAACGUUACGGUUGCCGGCAUGCGCAGUGACAAUCCGACCGGUGCGGGCGAUCAGCAGGAAAGACCGGGGAUCGAGCAGUGGAUCGUCGGGUUCGUGGACGGCGCGGAGCGCGGAGGCCCGGUGAACGAUCCGGGGGUACUUCGGCUGUGGCAGCGUCCGCCGGGACCGGAGGUACGACGACCACCGAGAGGACCUGUUCGCCUACAGGGUCUCUCGGUUCCCAGACCUCCGGGACCUGAUCGUGCCGUUCUUGAACGGUAUCCACUGGUUACGGCGAAGGCCGAUGCGUUCACGAGGUUCGCGGCGGUCAUCCGGAUCACGGAGGCCGAGCUCCACCUCUCGGUGGAGGGCCUCGCUCGGAUCGCGGAGAUCGCCCAGGCCAUGAACCAUCGGAAGCCGUCUCGGUUCCUGGGAUCCUCAGAGGCCAUACGCCAGCCAGCUCCCCGCCGACGGGGGAGCUGAAGAUAUGGUCCCGCCCCUAUGGCGACAUAGGGAUCUCGGAGCGAAAUUCCUUGUCGGGUAAGUUCCGACCUGCACGAAUGGCGUAACGACUUGGGCACUGUCUCGACCAGGGACUCGGCGAAAUUGCACUACGAGUGAAGAUGCUCGUUACCCGCAGCAGGACGGAAAGACCCCGGGACCUUUACUGCAACUUGGUGUUGGGUUCUGGCAGGUGUUGCGUAGGAUAGGCGGGAGGCUGUGAAGCCCGGGCUCCGGCUCGGGUGGAGCCACCCUUGAAAUACCGCCCUUCACCUGUUGGGACUCUAACCCGGGCCCGUGAUCCGGGUCGGGGACAGCGCCUGGUGGGCAGUUUGACUGGGGCGGUCGCCUCCUAAAGGGUAACGGAGGCGCCCAAAGGUCCCCUCAGCCUGGUUGGCAAUCAGGCGUCGAGUGCAAGGGCACAAGGGGGCUUGACUGCGAGACCGACGGGUCGAGCAGGCGCGAAAGCGGGGCCUAGUGAUCCGACGGCUCCUGGUGGUAGGGCCGUCGCUCAACGGCUAAAAGGUACCCCGGGGAUAACAGGCUGAUCUGGCCCAAGAGUCCAUAUCGACGGCCAGGUUUGGCACCUCGAUGUCGGCUCGUCUCAUCCUGGGGCUGGAGCAGGUCCCAAGGGUCGGGCUGUUCGCCCGUUAAAGAGGCACGCGAGCUGGGUUUAGAACGUCGUGAGACAGUUCGGUCCCUAUCCGCUGCGGGCGCAGGAGGCUUGAGGGGAGCUGUCCCUAGUACGAGAGGACCGGGACGGACGGACCUCUGGUGUGCCAGUUGUCGCGCCAGCGGCACGGCUGGUUAGCCACGUCCGGACGGGAUAAGCGCUGAAGGCAUCUAAGUGCGAAGCCCACCCCGAGAUGAGGCCUCCCACUGGGUCGACCAGGUAAGGCCCCUCGGAGACCACGAGGUCGAUAGGCCGGAGGUGUAAGCACCGCGAGGUGUUGAGCCGACCGGUACUAAUAGGCCGAGGACUUGACUCU